UUGUUUUAUAACUUUGUGUAAUAUGUAUUAUAGAUUUUAUUCUUAGUCAUUUGUUAUUUGAAUAAAUGACCGUUUCACUCAAUUGUGUUUUCAGUAAUUUAUACAAGAAGUUAAGCAAAAACGAGCUUCGAAUAGCCAGAAAUUGUCUUGUCGGAUUAUCAGGAAAAUUUGUGGAUAUAAAUAAACAUUUAUUGGUACAAUAAAUUGUUUUAUAUACAAAAUUUUAUAAUCUUUAUAACUUAUGUAAUUUUCCAUUUAUUUCUUUCGGGUGCCCCAUGCAUUUACGGCUAGAUUUUAUAGUUUGGACCAAUCAAAUGAAGUUAUACGUAUCACGUGGUUAAUUCACUCUAGCCAUUUUUUAUCGGAGAGGAAGUCACACAAAUUUUCAGCAACCACCUCUUCCCCUCCACCACCCAAUUUUUGAUGAAUCUACUUCUUAACAAUGUAUAACUUGUCGUAUUAAAAAAUGUAAACAAUAUGGAACCUUUUUGUUGUGCAUCUUUUUGUGCACCACCUUUUUGCUUUUUAAGUGUUUUUUUACCAUUAUAUUAUUGGCUGGGCUGUUUUUGUGUCAUUCAAUUUGUGAUUAACUGUAUAUUUUGUUUUAAGCCCAGCCAAUUAAUUGUUUUAUAACUUUGUGUAAUAUGUAUUAUAGAUUUUAUUCUUAGUCAUUUGUUAUUUGAAUAAAUGACAGUUUCACUUAA